AGUGGGAUUGCUGGGUCAUAUGCUAAGCAUUGUUUAACUCUGUAAGAAACUGCAAAGCUGUUUCCCAAAGUAGCUGCACCAUUUUGCAUUCCCACCAGCAAU
rnacentral:pre_miRNA from 1 species